GAUGAACGCUGGCGGCGUGCCUAAUACAUGCAAGUCGAGCGAACAUCCGACGAGCUUGCUCGUGUUACGUUACCGGCGGACGGGUGAUUAACACGUGGCUUACCUUCCUCUAUGACUUGGAUAACUUCGAGCAACCGUAGCUAAUGCCGGUUCAUAUUGUGAACCGCAUGGUUCUAUAGUGAAUUUCGGUUUUUCUGUCUCUUCUCACUGGCUCCCCGCCUGAUGAGCUAGUUGUUGAGCUAACAGCUGACGACGGCAAGCAUGCCUAGCCGACCUGAGAGGGGGAUCGGCCACACUGGAACUGAGACGCGGUCCAGACUCCUACGGGAGGCAGCAGUAGCGAAUGUUGGGAAAUGGGCGGAAGACUGACGGAGCAACGGCAGGUGGGUGAAGAGGGUCUUCGGAUCGGAAAACUGCGUUAUUAGGGAAGAACAAAUGUGUAAGGAAAUAUGCACGUCUUGACGGUACCUAAACAGAAAGCCACGGCUAACUACGUG
rnacentral:rRNA from 1 species